rnacentral:rRNA from 1 species
UGACCCGUCUUGAAGCACGGACCAAGGAGUCUAGCAUGUGCGCAAGUCAUUGGGUGUUAAACCUAAAGGCGCAACGAAAGUGAAGUCCUCGAGACUCAGGGCGCCUCGCGCGUCCUCUCUCCGUUGGGACUGGGGUGAUGACCGGCGCUGCAUCCGCAUCCGGUUCGCAACCCCGGGAUGUCGACGUCUCGCCGAGACCAGAUGUCCUCUGAGCGUACAUGUUGGUACCCGAAAGAUGGUGACCUAUGCCUGGCCAGGACGAAGUCAGGGGAAACCCUGAUGGAGGUCCGAAGCGGUUCUGACGUGCAAAUCGAUCGCAUGAGCUGGGUAUAGGGGCGAAAGACUAAUCGAACCGUCUAGUAGCUGGUUCCCUCCGAAGUUUCCCUCAGGAUAGCUGGAACUCGCUCGGAGAACGUUGCUAUGGAAGAGUCUCAUAUGGUAAAGCAAACGAUUGGAGAUCUUUGUGUCGAGAUGACGUAAACCUACUCUCGAACUUUAAAUGGGUGAGUCAGGGGCGGUGCUUUGUCACCAGCCCCAAGCUUUUCAUAAGCAGCGGGAUCUAUAGAGCUCCAAGUGGGCCAUUUUUGGUAAGCAGAACUGGUGCUGUGGGAUGAACCAAACGCGAAGUUAAAGCGCCCAAGUGAGAGAGUACGUAUACCAUGAAGUGUGCCGGUUGCUAGAGACAGCAGGACGGUGGCCAUGGAAGUCGGCAUCCGCUAAGGAGUGUGUAACAACUCACCUGCCGAAGCAACUAGCCCCAAAAAUGGAUGGCGCUUAGAUCUUUCCGCUUAUACUUCGCCGUCACGGCAAAGGCGGUCCCCUUCAUUGGGGGCCUUGAAGCGGUGAUGAGUAGGAGGGUCGCAUCGGUGUGCGCCGAAGCGUUGGGCGUGAGCCUGCGUGGAGCCGCCGAUGGUGCAGAUCUUGGUGGUAGUAGCAAAUACUCCGAUGGAGGCUCGGAGGACUGUUGCGGAGGAGGGUUUCGUGUCAACAGCAGUUGAACACGAGUGAGUCGGUCCUAAGCCCAUGGGGGAAGCCUCUCCCAGCGGUCUGUGUCUCUAACAGAGCGUCGAUGGGCGAAAGGGAAUCAGGUUAAGAUUCCAGAACUCAGGUCGGUACUGAUGCAGGUCCUGUACCUGUCACGGUAACGUGAACGACCCCGGAGAAGCCGUUGGGGCCUGCCAGGAGAGUUAUCUCCUCUGUAUAAGGGUGCAUGAUCCCUGGAAAGCCGUCAAGGCGAGAUAGGGAACGCCGCACGCGAAGAGCAGCGCACUUCGUGCGUUGUUGGCAGGAUACUUCGGACGUUGAAAAUCCGGGCGGGGGCUACGCGGACGUUCGACCUAGAUCCGUA